AGAUUAAGUUAUUAAGGGCGCACGGUGGAUGCCUUGGCACUAGAAGCCGAUGAAGGACGUUACUAACGACGAUAUGCUUUGGGGAGCUGUAAGUAAGCUUUGAUCCAGAGAUUUCCGAAUGGGGAAACCCAGCAUGAGUUAUGUCAUGUUAUCGAUAUGUGAAUAUAUAGCAUAUCAGAAGGCACACCCGGAGAACUGAAACAUCUUAGUACCCGGAGGAAGAGAAAGAAAAUUCGAUUCCCUUAGUAGCGGCGAGCGAAACGGGAAGAGCCCAAACCAACAAGCUUGCUUGUUGGGGUUGUAGGACACUCUAUACGGAGUUACAAAGGACGACAUUAGACGAAUCAUCUGGAAAGAUGAAUCAAAGAAGGUAAUAAUCCUGUAGUCGAAAAUGUUGUCUCUCUUGAGUGGAUCCUGAGUACGACGGAGCACGUGAAAUUCCGUCGGAAUCUGGGAGGACCAUCUCCUAAGGCUAAAUACUCUCUAGUGACCGAUAGUGAACCAGUACCGUGAGGGAAAGGUGAAAAGCACCCCGGAAGGGGAGUGAAAUAGAACCUGAAACCGUGUGCUUACAAGUAGUCAGAGCCCGUUAAUGGGUGAUGGCGUGCCUUUUGUAGAAUGAACCGGCGAGUUACGAUUUGAUGCAAGGUUAAGCAGUAAAUGUGGAGCCGUAGCGAAAGCGAGUCUGAAUAGGGCGUUUAGUAUUUGGUCGUAGACCCGAAACCAGGUGAUCUACCCUUGGUCAGGUUGAAGUUCAGGUAACACUGAAUGGAGGACCGAACCGACUUACGUUGAAAAGUGAGCGGAUGAACUGAGGGUAGCGGAGAAAUUCCAAUCGAACCUGGAGAUAGCUGGUUCUCUCCGAAAUAGCUUUAGGGCUAGCCUCAAGUGAUGAUUAUUGGAGGUAGAGCACUGUUUGGACGAGGGGCCCCUCUCGGGUUACCGAAUUCAGACAAACUCCGAAUGCCAAUUAAUUUAACUUGGGAGUCAGAACAUGGGUGAUAAGGUCCGUGUUCGAAAGGGAAACAGCCCAGACCACCAGCUAAGGUCCCAAAAUAUAUGUUAAGUGGAAAAGGAUGUGGCGUUGCCCAGACAACUAGGAUGUUGGCUUAGAAGCAGCCAUCAUUUAAAGAGUGCGUAAUAGCUCACUAGUCGAGUGACACUGCGCCGAAAAUGUACCGGGGCUAAACAUAUUACCGAAGCUGUGGAUUGUCCUUUGGACAAUGGUAGGAGAGCGUUCUAAGGGCGUUGAAGCAUGAUCGUAAGGACAUGUGGAGCGCUUAGAAGUGAGAAUGCCGGUGUGAGUAGCGAAAGACGGGUGAGAAUCCCGUCCACCGAUUGACUAAGGUUUCCAGAGGAAGGCUCGUCCGCUCUGGGUUAGUCGGGUCCUAAGCUGAGGCCGACAGGCGUAGGCGAUGGAUAACAGGUUGAUAUUCCUGUACCACCUAUAAUCGUUUUAAUCGAUGGGGGGACGCAGUAGGAUAGGCGAAGCGUGCGAUUGGAUUGCACGUCUAAGCAGUAAGGCUGAGUAUUAGGCAAAUCCGGUACUCGUUAAGGCUGAGCUGUGAUGGGGAGAAGACAUUGUGUCUUCGAGUCGUUGAUUUCACACUGCCGAGAAAAGCCUCUAGAUAGAAAAUAGGUGCCCGUACCGCAAACCGACACAGGUAGUCAAGAUGAGAAUUCUAAGGUGAGCGAGCGAACUCUCGUUAAGGAACUCGGCAAAAUGACCCCGUAACUUCGGGAGAAGGGGUGCUCUUUAGGGUUAACGCCCAGAAGAGCCGCAGUGAAUAGGCCCAAGCGACUGUUUAUCAAAAACACAGGUCUCUGCUAAACCGUAAGGUGAUGUAUAGGGGCUGACGCCUGCCCGGUGCUGGAAGGUUAAGAGGAGUGGUUAGCUUCUGCGAAGCUACGAAUCGAAGCCCCAGUAAACGGCGGCCGUAACUAUAACGGUCCUAAGGUAGCGAAAUUCCUUGUCGGGUAAGUUCCGACCCGCACGAAAGGCGUAACGAUUUGGGCACUGUCUCAACGAGAGACUCGGUGAAAUCAUAGUACCUGUGAAGAUGCAGGUUACCCGCGACAGGACGGAAAGACCCCGUGGAGCUUUACUGUAGCCUGAUAUUGAAAUUCGGCACAGCUUGUACAGGAUAGGUAGGAGCCUUUGAAACGUGAGCGCUAGCUUACGUGGAGGCGCUGGUGGGAUACUACCCUAGCUGUGUUGGCUUUCUAACCCGCACCACUUAUCGUGGUGGGAGACAGUGUCAAGCGGGCAGUUUGACUGGGGCGGUCGCCUCCUAAAAGGUAACGGAGGCGCUCAAAGGUUCCCUCAGAAUGGUUGGAAAUCAUUCAUAGAGUGUAAAGGCAUAAGGGAGCUUGACUGCGAGACCUACAAGUCGAGCAGGGUCGAAAGACGGACUUAGUGAUCCGGUGGUUCCGCAUGGAAGGGCCAUCGCUCAACGGAUAAAAGCUACCCCGGGGAUAACAGGCUUAUCUCCCCCAAGAGUUCACAUCGACGGGGAGGUUUGGCACCUCGAUGUCGGCUCAUCGCAUCCUGGGGCUGUAGUCGGUCCCAAGGGUUGGGCUGUUCGCCCAUUAAAGCGGUACGCGAGCUGGGUUCAGAACGUCGUGAGACAGUUCGGUCCCUAUCCGUCGUGGGCGUAGGAAAUUUGAGAGGAGCUGUCCUUAGUACGAGAGGACCGGGAUGGACAUACCUCUGGUGUACCAGUUGUCGUGCCAACGGCAUAGCUGGGUAGCUAUGUGUGGACGGGAUAAGUGCUGAAA
rnacentral:rRNA from 1 species